CAGCUACAGCAGUGACAGCUUUAUCGAGGUCAAGGUCAAGGGCAUUACUGCUGGAAUAAAAGACCUACAGUUACGAGGCACACUGAGGGUGAUCUUCAAGCCUCUGAUUGGUCAGAUUCCACUGUUUGGCGGGAUGAGCUUUUUCUUCAUCAACACCCCGGACAUUGACUUCAACCUGACUGGACUUGCCAACUCCCUGGAUCUGCCAGGACUCAGCGACAUGUUGGAUACAAUUAUUGCUGAA